GACACAGCCAGCCAGACGCUGGAGCGCUCUCACUUCCUCAUUCCUUUUAGGGCAGCUCUGGUUCUUUUCUUUCUUUCUUUUUUUUUUUUCUUCUUCUUCCACUUCAAAGCAAACAUCUGUAAUCUACUAAGAGUGGAAAAGAUGACAUGUGGCCAUAGACUGGACCACUGAUGGAAGAACUGAGAGGGAAGAGCCAUUUUUGAUGCUCCUGGGAGAUUCUGACAGGCAUCAUCUGAUCAGUAGGCUGGCUCAGGACACCCCCUUCACGAAGGCCCAGUGACCACCUCAGUCCUGACUGCUGUAAACCAGACUGAUAAAUGUGGUAAUCACCUGUUGGUGACUCACCUCCAGUGGCUCUGGGUUAAGGAAACCAAACGGACCACAAGUUACACUGGCCUUUUCUGAACCUUGGAGUCGGCGCUUUGCCCACAGGGUGCCUGUUUCUCACUGGGAAAGCUCAUCUGUCUAGAAAACACCCUUCUGGUUUGACUUGAAGGUGCCCUGACGCUCCAACAAGGCUGAAGAGGAGGCCCCGGGGACGGCUCAAGCAGUGGUUUGCCUCUGUCUCUCUGUGAGGGCAGGGGCUGUGUCUUAUAAAAACCAACAUUCUCUCCACAUUUCCCGACAUGAAGGGGCAACCAAUUAAGGCUUGUUGAAGAAAGGAAUUCCAGUAGGGACCAUCUGUGAGCACACAGUCCGCGUGGCCAUGAUUCUGCAGCUAAGGGAGACAGACUGUCCUCAAACGGAGGCAGAAUCAUUAGUUGGGCUCAUCCAAGUGUUGGCCCAGAAUACGGAGGCAGGGGAAGCAGGGCCAUGGUCCCGCUGUGGGCGCUUUAUGGGAAGGGAGAAGACUAGUGUUGAGUCUGGUUCCUACGUGGUACUGAGUCUGGUUUUCUCUGUGGUCUGUCUUGGAAGUCACACAAAUAGUGUGACCGGUAGAGAGACGUCUAUCCCAGCUGCCCCAGCAGAGGCACUGUAUAGAAAACAUUUACAAGUGCUCAGGAAGAGGCCCUGAAUGAUGGGAGAAGGUGGCACAGAGCGAGGAAAACCUCUGGCUAGUGCCAGAGGUUUGUUCUCUCUUGUUCACGGAUGCCCACAUGCACGGAGAGAAGUCCCUCGUCUGAAGCCGGAUGGAGGAUUCCUCACUACUAGUGUUAGUGAUGAGCCGGUCACUCCUGGAGCCACAGAAAGUGAUGAGCUGUGCCCAUGAUUGUUGGUGACACUUGGGGGAUAUAAAGGCUUUCGAGUUAAA